AUUGAACGCUGGCGGCAGGCCUAACACAUGCAAGUCGAGCGAGGGGCGGACGGGUGAGUAAUGUAUGGGGACUGCCCGAUAGAGGGGGAUAACUACUGGAAACGGUAGCUAAUACCGCAUACUAUGGGAUCAACCAUAUGGGAUUAGCUAGUAGGUGAGGUAAUGGCUCACCUAGGCGACGAUCCCUAGCUGGUCUGAGAGGAUGAACAGCAACACUGGGACUGAGCCACGGCCCCAACUCCUACGGAGGCAGCAGGGGGCAAUAUUUCACAAUGGGCGCAAGCCUGAUGCAGCCAUGCCGCGUGUAUGAAGAAGGCCCUAGGGUUGUAAAGUACUUUCAGUCGGGAGGCGUUACCGAGAGAAGAAGCACCGGCUAACGCCGUGCCAGCAGCCGCGGUAAUUC
rnacentral:rRNA from 1 species